rnacentral:rRNA from 1 species
CGCUGGCGGCGUGCCUAAUACAUGCAAGUCAAACGCACUCUCGUUUAGAUUGAAGGAGCUUGCUCCUGAUUGAUAAACAUUUGAGUGAGUGGCGGACGGGUGAGUAACACGUGGGUAACCUGCCCUAAAGUGGGGGAUAACAUUUGGAAACAGAUGCUAAUACCGCAUAAAACCUAACACCGCAUGGUGUAGGGUUGAAAGAUGGUUUCGGCUAUCACUUUAGGAUGGACCCGCGGUGCAUUAGUUAGUUGGUGAGGUAAAGGCUCACCAAGACCGUGAUGCAUAGCCGACCUGAGAGGGUAAUCGGCCACACUGGGACUGAGACACGGCCCAGACUCCUACGGGAGGCAGCAGUAGGGAAUCUUCCACAAUGGACGAAAGUCUGAUGGAGCAACGCCGCGUGAGUGAAGAAGGUUUUCGGAUCGUAAAACUCUGUUGUUGGAGAAGAAUGUAUCUGAUAGUAACUGAUCAGGUAGUGACGGUAUCCAACCAGAAAGCCACGGCUAACUACGUG